rnacentral:rRNA from 1 species
CUGUGCCAGCAGCCGCGGUAAUACAGAGGGGUGCAAGCGUUGUUCGGAAUUAUUGGGCGUAAAGCGUAUAUAGGCGGUAAUGUAAGUUUGAUGUAAAAGUUUGGAGCUCAACUCCAAAAGGUCAUUGAAUACUGCAUUGCUAGAGGUCGGGAGAGGUAAAUGGAAUUCCUAGUGGAUAGGUAAAAUUUGAAGAUAUUAGGAGGAACUCCAGAGACGAAAGUGGUUUACUAGAACGAAUCUGACGCUGUAAUACGAAAGUGCGGGGAUCAAACAGGAUUAGAUACCCUGGUAGUCCGCACAGUAAACGAUGAUAACUAGUUGUUUGCGAUAUACAGUAAGCGACCAAAGCGAAAAGCGAUAAGUUAUCCACCUGGGGAGUACGCCGGCAACGGUGAAACUCAAAGGAAUUGACGGGGGCCCGCACAAGCGGAGGAGCAUGUGGUUUAAAUUCGAUGAUACGCGAGGAACCUUACCAGGG